UCUACAGGUCGAGCAAGUCUCGUAAAUUUCACGAUUGCGAGCCACGCUUCACGCAACCGUGUUUGCGUACUUGUGUUUCGAGUUGCGUGGUCGUGCGGAGUUAUAUUUACCAAAUUUCAUAGAAGAGUGGGUGGGGCCAAAUUUAAAUAUAAUCGUUUCUACUGAUUCAUAAUAAUAAUAUGUAGGUAUACUAUUCUCAAUAUGGUUACUGGGUGUAAAAGAUAAAUCUUAUUCUAUCUGUUCUUCAUGAGUUUUAGAUAAUUUUAGUUGUAUUUCUUUGUAAUUUUGUGUUGUACAAAGAUUAAUUUAACAUUUUCUCUGGAAGUAUUAAUUUAGAAAGAUAAUAUGCUUCAUUGGUGUUGUGUUUUGAAGUGUGAAAUGCAAAGUAAUUGUGAUAAAGUCAAGAUAAAGUUCACUUUUAAACUGAACUAAAUAAGGUAUCUGAGAGACAACAAUGGUUAAAUGCAAUACAAUGUACAGGUUUUACUAGCGAAAUGAAAAUUUUCCUGUCCUGUCUGCUGUAAUCAUUUUAUAUCUGGAAAAUAGGAAAACCAGCCGACUUAAUCGAUAAUAACAAUCUCCAGAUUGGGUUCCUUCAAUAAAUAUGGGCUAUAAACACAAUGAAAUAAGUUCCCCAAAAUCUAAAAUGGAGUGGUAUCAAAGGAGAAUUAAAGGAAAAAAUAUUCAUAUUGAAAUUAUUUAUAAGGCACUGGACUGUCUUAAAUUCUACAAUAAUACUAGGUGGGUAAAUGAUUUUAGACAUUUUUCAUUAAGAGUAGAUUAAGGUUAAGUACAUUUUCAUUCAGUAGAUUUAAGACUUGUUUACACGGGUAGAGUAAUGAUGCAAGUACUUGAUAGAGUAGAGUAACUCUACCUGUAAAAAUGCUCAGCACAGUAGAAUAGCUGGUAGAGUGUAUAGUUGGAGUUAAAGUAGAGUGACUAGCAACCUAUGGCAAAGUAACUACUCUAUGACCACCACUACUGCCAAAAUGUCUACUCAGCUGCACACUCUACCCAUGGAACACGCUCAAUUACGGCAGAAUAGAGUAGGUAGGAGAGUACAUGGGGGCGCUGUCAUUCUGGCUGGAAUUGUGUUUUGUGUAAAUAGUGAAAAUGAAGUUCACCGAAGAUGAAACUUUAAAACUUGUAGAGCUAUAAUACGGCGAAUACCAGUGUUUAUGGAAUUUAGGUAGUGUAUACUACAGAAAUAAAAGUUUGCAGCAAGCUGCGCAGGAUGAAAUCGUCGAAAGAAUGGCAAAGG
rnacentral:lncRNA from 1 species